ACGAUGGCUAGCCGGCCUGAGAGGGUGAUCGGCCACAAGGGGACUGAGACACGGCCCUUACUCCUACGGGAGGCAGCAGUGGGGAAUAUUGGACAAUGGACUAAAAGUCUGAUCCAGCAAUUCUGUGUGCACGAUGAAGGUUUUCGGAUCGUAAAGUGCUUUCAGUAGGGAAGAAAGAAAUGACGGUACCUACAGAAGAAGCGACGGCUAAAUACGUGCCAGCAGCCGCGGUAAUACGUAUGUCGCAAGCGUUAUCCGGAAUUAUUGGGCGUAAAGCGCGUCUAGGCGGCCUUCUAAGUCUGAUGUUAAAAUGCGGGGCUCAACUCCGUAUUGCGUUGGAGACUGGAUGGCUAGAGUAUCAGAGAGGUGGGCGGAACUACAAGUGUAGAGGUGAAAUUCGUAGAUAUUUGUAGGAAUGCCGAUUGGGAAGCCAGCUCACUGGAUGAAUACUGACGCUAAAGCGCGAAAGCGUGGGGAGCAAACGGGAUUAGAUACCCCGGUAGUCCACGCCGUAAACGAUGAUCACUAAGUGUGGGGGGUCGAACCUCCGUGCUCAAGCUAACGCGAUAAGUGAUCCGCCUGGGGAGUACGCACGCAAGUGUGAAACUCAAAGGAAUUGACGGGGACCCGCACAAGCGGUGGAGCAUGUGGUUUAAUUCGACGCAACGCGAGGAACCUUACCAGCCCUUGACAUCCCAAGAACUUAGCAGAGAUGCUUUGGUGCCUUUUCGGAGGAACUUGGUGACAGGUGGUGCAUGGCUGUCGUCAGCUCGUGUCGUGAGAUGUUGGGUUAAGUCCCGCAACGAGCGCAACCCCUUUCGUAUGUUACCAUCAUUAAGUUGGGGACUCAUGCGAUACUGCCGGUGACAAACCGGAGGAAGGUGGGGAUGACGUCAAGUCAUCAUGCCCCUUAUGGGCUGGGCUACACACGUGCUACAAUGGGCGAUACAGAGAGUUGCGAUACCGCGAGGUGGAGCUAAUCUCAGAAAGUCGUUCUUAGUUCGGAUCGCAGUCUGCAACUCGACUGCGUGAAGUUGGAAUCGCUAGUAAUCGCGAAUCAGCAAUGUCGCGGUGAAUACGUUCUCGGGUCUUGUACACACCGCCCGUCACACCACGAGAGUUGGUUGCACCUGAAGUUGCAGGCCUAACCCGUUUACGGGAAGGAUGUACCUAAGGUGUGAUUGGCGAUUGGGGUGAAGUCGAAACAAGGUAUCCGUACGGGAACGUGCGGAUG
rnacentral:rRNA from 1 species